rnacentral:tRNA from 1 species
GGAGACGUGCCUGAGAGGCCGAAAGGAGCCGCCUGCUAAGCGGUUAACGGGGUAACACUCGUUCCCGGGUUCGAAUCCCGGCGUCUCCG